AAAAUUUUCAUUUUACUCAAAUGAGACCUUAUUUCAGAAAGCACAGUGGAGAAUGUAUUAGCAAAAACUAUACAGUCCUAUUUGCUAUUUUGCUUCAAAUCCUCUUGGUUUCUCUCAACUUUUGGAUUCAAAUAAAUUAAUGCCACCAUCUAAUUACAUAGAAUCUAGACCAUUUAAUUUACAAUAAGUGCUUAAAAGAACUAGAAC
rnacentral:lncRNA from 1 species